GGGCCCGUAGCUCAAUUGGUAGAGCGCCUGUUUUGCACUCAGGAGGUAUGGAGUUCGAAUCUCCACGGGUCCA
rnacentral:tRNA from 1 species